rnacentral:lncRNA from 1 species
CCACGAGCCGGCGGAGGACAGCCACACGCUUCGCGGCAAGGCUGGAAGCCACACCGCUGUGGCCGGUCACCCAUGUCUUGCGAUCACUUUCGUCCAGCCGCCCAAGGCGGGACCCGGACCCCGGUGCGGCUAGCACACACGUCGCCCAGGAUAGGAGCGUAGCUGUUCGGGACGGACGGCUGCCGCUCCGGAGAGGACAGAACCCCGUGUCCCCGCGACUGCCAGCUCACGAGCCAGCGGAGGACAGCCACACGCUUCGCGGAAAAUCUGGCUCCCUUGCCGCUCGUGGCCGGACAACCGUGUCAUGGGAUCGUUGUCCCCAAUACACCCGAAACGGGAUUCUUACACUUGCGCGGCUAGCAUACACAUCUCCCAGGAUCGGAGUCUGGGCGUUCGGGAAAGACGGCGGCCUCUCCGCGAGGGACAGUUGCCGAGCGAACGGAACACAGCCUCCUGCUUCGCGGCAAGGCUGGCACCCAAACCGCUUGUGGCCGGUCACCCGUGUCUUGCGAUCACUUUCGUCGAGCCGCCCAAGGCGGGACCCGGACCCCGGCGCGGCUAGCACACACGUCGCCCAGGAUAGGAACGUGCGUGUUCGGGACAGACGGCUGCCGCUCCGGAGAGGACAGAACCCCAUUUCCCCGCGACUGCCAGCCCACGAGCCAGCGGAGGACAGCCACACACUUCGCGGUAAGGCUGGAAGCCACACUGCUGUGGCCGGUCACCCGUGUCUUGUGAUCACUUUCGUCGAGCCGCCCAAGGCGGGACCCGGACCCUGGCGCGGCUAGAACACACGUCGCCCAGGAUAGGAUUGUGGCUGUUCGGGACGGACGGCUGCCCCUCCGGAGAGGACAGAACCCCAUGUCCCCGCGACUGCCAACUCACGAGCCAGCAGAGGACAGCCACACGCUUCGCGGAAAGUCUGGCUCCCAUGCCGCUCGUGGCCGGACAACCGUGUCAUGGGAUCGUUGUCCCCAAUACACCCGAAACGGGAUCCUAACCCUUGCGCGGCUAGCAUACACAUCUCCCAGGACC